AUUGACACCCUCUCUAUUCUUUUCGUAUCACCUUCACUACCCCAAACACUCUCUCUAUAACUCAAACCGAAGUAACAUACGUUGCCGAAUAUCGAAGUUCAUCGGAAAAAUUCAUCGGCUUCUUUACUUUCGUAUCGGGUGAUAUAAAUCUAAAUCGACUGAAGACCGGGUGGGAACCGCUCAUUGGCAUAUGGUCUUAGUACCGAAAUUUCGUUUGAUAGAUUGCCAAGGUUCUGAGAUAUGUGGUCUUUAUGCUUUUUAUCAUCUGGGUAUCAUGGUUGUUUCUUUUACCGAAACAAACGGAGACGAAGUCUAGAUCUUCCAUGAUAUCAUACAUACAUGUACAUACUGCAUACGACCUCAAUAAGUGAUCAACAAUCACAUGUCCAAACAAACAAGUGAUAAUAUAUCACAUUUUUUCGUGAGUCAAGUUCGUCUCUUUGCUGUACGUGAGUACUGACCUGUUCACGGACUUGCUCCUGUGCCCUCAUGCAUCUGAAAAUCAAGUUCCUCAUUAAUAAGUGAUUCUAUCACAUAGGGCUUGUUUUCAAUCAAAAUAAGUGAGUUUCUCACAUUUUCAUAUACGUCAAAACAGAUGAUAAAUGGUAUACUCACCAGUAAGAUGAACUCUCGUGCAUACCUUGAUACGGGAAUGUAUCGUGUGUGGAUGAACACCGGUCGGUAAGUAUAAACCAUACCAUAACGUAUCCCCUCGCCAUGAUUACAUCUGACAAGUUGAGCGUAUGUGGACAACAAUACCGAUAAUCGUUAUAUGAUGCUUAUCUUAAUGUGAACUAAUUGAACAACAAGAGCGUUUUGGCGUGAGCGUACACUGAUAUGAUUCUCUUAGAUGCUAAAGGCAAGGAGAACAUGUUCGAUGAUAAGCUUCGGAAUGAAGACACGACGUGAAGGCACUCAAAUGAUAAAGAUGAUCGAGUUGCCGCUGAUCAAUCAUCAACACCACAAGGUUCUAAAGUAUUUAAGAUCAAAAGAUUCACGAGCAUAAUCAAAUGGGGAGUUUAUUGAUACACUUCCUAAAUGAAAUCGGGAGUUUGUUAAUACACUUUCUACUUACAACGCGUGAAGACUUUGAAUCAGGUGAUUCAGAUCCCUAUUCAUCUGUUUGCUUCAUCAUUUCAAAGGAAUGAUGAAUUACACCUUUUGAUCUUGGGGUUUGUUUGAGUUAUGUUUUAAAAGAAUCAUUAUUUCUGGGUUUUCUUGAAAUUAACGAUUAGGUUGAUUAAUUUCGGUAUUGAAUCUAUGAAUUGCUCCACAUGAGCUACAAAUUUUGAUAAUACUACACACAUAACAUGUGUUUAACAAGUUUCAAAUAUACAUAAACUUUU
rnacentral:lncRNA from 1 species